GUAGCUUGCUACAUUACCUAGCGGCGGACGGGUGAGUAAUGCUUAGGAAUCUGCCUAUUAGUGGGGGACAACAUCUCGAAAGGGAUGCUAAUACCGCAUACGUCCUACGGGAGAAAGCAGGGGACCUUCGGGCCUUGCGCUAAUAGAUGAGCCUAAGUCGGAUUAGCUAGUUGGUGGGGUAAAGGCCUACCAAGGCGACGAUCUGUAGCGGGUCUGAGAGGAUGAUCCGCCACACUGGGACUGAGACACGGCCCAGACUCCUACGGGAGGCAGCAGUGGGGAAUAUUGGACAAUGGGGGGAACCCUGAUCCAGCCAUGCCGCGUGUGUGAAGAAGGCCUUUUGGUUGUAAAGCACUUUAAGCGAGGAGGAGGCUACCGAGAUUAAUACUCUUGGAUAGUGGACGUUACUCGCAGAAUAAGCACCGGCUAACUCUGUGCCAGCAGCCGCGGUAAUACAGAGGGUGCAAGCGUUAAUCGGAUUUACUGGGCGUAAAGCGCGCGUAGGUGGCCAAUUAAGUCAAAUGUGAAAUCCCCGAGCUUAACUUGGGAAUUGCAUUCGAUACUGGUUGGCUAGAGUAUGGGAGAGGAUGGUAGAAUUCCAGGUGUAGCGGUGAAAUGCGUAGAGAUCUGGAGGAAUACCGAUGGCGAAAGCAGCCAUCUGGCCUAAUACUGACACUGAGGUGCGAAAGCAUGGGGAGCAAACAGGAUUAGAUACCCUGGUAGUCCAUGCCGUAAACGAUGUCUACUAGCCGUUUGGGGC
rnacentral:rRNA from 1 species